rnacentral:rRNA from 1 species
GAUGAACGCUGGCGGCGUGCCUAAUACAUGCAAGUCGAGCGAACGGACGAGAGGCUUGCUUCUCUGAUGUUAGCGGCGGACGGGUGAGUAACACGUGGAUAACCUACCUAUAAGACUGGGAUAACUUCGGGAAACCGUAGCUAAUACCGGAUAAUAUUUUGAACCGCAUGGUUCAAAAGUGAAAGACGGUCUUGCUGUCACUUAUAGAUGGAUCCGCGCUGCAUUAGCUAGUUGGUAAGGUAACGGCUUACCAAGGCAACGAUGCAUAGCCGACCUGAGAGGGUGAUCGGCCACACUGGAACUGAGACACGGUCCAGACUCCUACGGGAGGCAGCAGUAGGGAAUCUUCCGCAAUGGGCGAAGGCCUGACGGAGCAACGCCGCGUGAGUGAUGAAGGUCUUCGGAUCGUAAAACUCUGUUAUUAGGGAAGAACAUAUGUGUAAGUAACUGUGCACAUCUUGACGGUACCUAAUCAGAAAGCCACGGCUAACUACGUG